AACGCACCUUGCACCCUCUGGUAUUCCGGAGGGUAUGCCCGGUUGAGUAUUAUGAUCAACUCAAGCCUCUGGUUUCUAAUCGCAAAGGUCUUACGUUCGGCGAAACCGUCUAUUGGGACGGCAGUAGUCAACGCUUGACUUGGAAACUCGGAUUGGCGUUGGACUUGAGCGCAUGUCGGUUGUUGUUAACGAUCGACUCGCUUGAAAUGCAUUAGCUGGCGACCCGCCUUACGGUUCCACUCGACGUAGUAAGCAUUAUUCGUUGAGGACACCUCUCUUGAUUGAAAGGUGGCCGACAGGUGUUUGGUAUUGAAGCCGCUUCUAAUCGUCUUAGGACAAUUUCCAUUGAACGAUUGAUCUCAACUCGGGUAGGACUACCCGCUGAACUUAA
rnacentral:misc_RNA from 1 species